ACUACCAGCACCAGUUCAAAUAGUAGUACCAUCACCAUACCACCAACCACCAUUACCAGCACCAGUACCAGUAUCAGCAUAAAUAUUAGGACUACCAAUACCUACUAGCAUCAGCACCAAUAUCAGCAUAAAUAAAAUAAAAAGCAACAUUUGCGAGAUAGAAUCAUCAGGAAUAUCAUGCUCAACAUCUUGAAAAUAACGAAAGCCGUUGGCAAAAAGACGAGAACAACGACGAAGAAGCAAUCGGCCUCUUCAUCAUCGCCCUACGGGUCCCUUGUAAAAGAAGAAAGGGCUGUCACGUUGUUGGAAAACGAGUGAACGAUGUACCAGGAAAUAAGUUCGUGGCAUUUCCAGGAUUCCGAUUAUGAGCUAACAAACGGGGUGGUAGUGAUUUCGUGCGAUUCCAACAGAUAGACCCUUUUUUUAAAAUUAUUCUUCGAAACAAAAAAAAAAAAGAAAAAGAAAAAGAAAAGAAAAAUAGUUUUUCUACGUGUUCAUGUAUUUGUAACUCGGUGUUAAACUACGAUUCGGAAAAUAUCGGACGGAAGGAACCUGGGAUCCUGUCUGCAGGGACUUACGGCCCAUUUCCGGCCCGCCAUAUUGGCGGCAUGGUCCUUUGGGCCAGUUUACUAUUCCUGCAGGGAGCUGGGUUCGCCGGCUCGAUGACGAGCGGUAUUCCGGGAGGGCCGGAAAAUAUAACGGUGAUGUUCCUAAACCCGACCUCCGUCCGUGUUUCUUGGAGCACCAGCCAGGUUGAACAAGUUGAAAAGUACGAUGUUACCUAUAGACCGACGGACGCCAGGUGCGUUCCCAUUAUUUCAAUAUUUAUUCUAUUUUUUUUUAUAAGCAAUAUCCACUUAAUCAUUUUGAAAGUCUUCUUGAU